rnacentral:rRNA from 1 species
AACGAACGCUGGCGGCGUGCCUAACACAUGCAAGUCGAACGGACUUAUAUUGAAGUAGCAAUACGGAAAUAUGAGUUAGUGGCGGACGGGUGAGUAACACGUAGGUAACCCACCCUUGGGAGGGGGACAACUCAGGGAAACUUGAGCUAAUACCCCAUAAGACCACGUACAGAGAUGUAUGGGGUAAAAGUGGCAACACACCUAGGGACGGGCCUGCGGCCUAUCAGGUACGUUGGUGAGGUAACGGCCCACCAAGCCAAAGACGGGUAGCCGGGCUGAGAGGUUGAACGGCCACACUGGAACUGAGAUACGGUCCAGACUCCUACGGGAGGCA